UAGGGAAUCUUCGGCAAUGGGGGCGAAACCCUGACCGAGCAACGCCGCGUGAGUGAAGAAGGUCUUCGGAUCGUAAAACUCUGUUGUUAGAGAAGAACACGAGUGAGAGUAACUGUUCAUUCGAUGACGGUAUCUAACCAGCAAGUCACGGCUAACUACGUGCCAG
rnacentral:rRNA from 1 species